rnacentral:rRNA from 1 species
UAGGGAAUAUUGGUCAAUGGGCGAAAGCCUGAACCAGCAACGCCGCGUGCGCGAUGAAGGCCUUCGGGUCGUAAAGCGCUUUUCUGGGAGAUGAGAAAGGACAGUAUCCCAGGAAUAAGUCUCGGCUAACUACGUGCCAGCAGCCGCGGUAAAACGUAGGAGGCGAGCGUUAUCCGGAUUCACUGGGCGUAAAGCGCGUGCAGGCGGUUUGGUAAGUUGGGCGUGAAAUCUCCCGGCUCAACUGGGAGGGGUCGUUCAAUACUACCAGACUCGAGAGUGGUAGAGGAAGAUGGAAUUCCAGGUGUAGUGGUGAAAUGCGUAGAUAUCUGGAGGAACACCAGUGGCGAAAGCGAUCUUCUGGACCAUUUCUGACGCUCAGACGCGAAAGCUAGGGUAGCAA